GAUGAACGCUCGCUACAGGCUUAACACAUGCAAGUCGAGGGGAAACGACAUCGAAAGCUUGCUUUUGAUGGGCGUCGACCGGCGCACGGGUGAGUAACGCGUAUCCAACCUGCCCAUCACUUGGGAAUAACCUUGCGAAAGUAAGACUAAUACCCAAUGACAUCCCACGUAGACAUCUGAAUGGGAUUAAAGAUUUAUCGGUGAUGGAUGGGGAUGCGUCUGAUUAGCUUGUUGGCGGGGUAACGGCCCACCAAGGCAACGAUCAGUAGGGGUUCUGAGAGGAAGGUCCCCCACAUUGGAACUGAGACACGGUCCAAACUCCUACGGGAGGCAGCAGUGAGGAAUAUUGGUCAAUGGGCGAGAGCCUGAACCAGCCAAGUAGCGUGCAGGAUGACGGCCCUAUGGGUUGUAAACUGCUUUUAUAAGGGAAUAAAGUGGGUCUCGUGAGACUUUUUGCAUGUACCUUAUGAAUAAGGACCGGCUAAUUCCGUG
rnacentral:rRNA from 1 species